rfam:Apaloderma vittatum contig10409, whole genome shotgun sequence.
GGCCGGUUAGCUCAGUCAGUUGAGCGUGGCUCUAACAACGCUAAGGUCGCGGGUUCGAUUCCCAUUCGGUCC